AUUGAACGCUAGCGGGAUGCUUAACACAUGCAAGUCGAACGAGGGGCGGACGGGUGUGUAAUCUAUCGGAACGCGCCCAGUAGCGGGGGAUCACUACUCGAAAGAGUGGCUAAUACCGCAAACUCUGGGGGCGGCCGAUAUGGGAUUAGCUAGUUGGGGGGGUAAAGGCUCACCAAGGCGACGAUCCGUAGCGGGUUUGAGAGGACGACCAGCCACACUGGGACUGAGACACGGCCCAGACUCCUACGGGAGGCAGCAGUGGGGAAUUUUGGACAAUGGGGGAAAGCCUGAUCCAGCCAUGCCGCGUGUAUGAGAAGGCCUUCGGGUUGUAAAGUACUUUUAGCAGAGAGGCGUUAUCUGCAGAAGAAGCACCGGCUAACUACGUGCCAGCAGCCGCGGUAAUUC
rnacentral:rRNA from 1 species